rnacentral:rRNA from 1 species
CCCAGACAGCCAGGAUGUUGGCUUAGAAGCAGCCAUCAUUUAAAGAAAGCGUAAUAGCUCACUGGUCGAGUCGGCCUGCGCGGAAGAUGUAACGGGGCUAAACCAUGCACCGAAGCUGCGGCAGCGAACGUAUCACUUAAAGCGAUUCAGCGGGUUACGAUUGACGGAGCGAAGCGACGUCAAAGCGUAUACAAAGUCGAGUCGGUUUAAGGAUACGUUCGUUGGGUAGGGGAGCGUUCUGUAAGCCUGUGAAGGUGGCCUGUGAGGGUUGCUGGAGGUAUCAGAAGUGCGAAUGCUGACAUAAGUAACGAUAAAGCGGGUGAAAAGCCCGCUCGCCGGAAGACCAAGGGUUCCUGUCCAACGUUAAUCGGGGCAGGGUGAGUCGACCCCUAAGGCGAGGCCGAAAGGCGUAGUCGAUGGGAAACGGGUUAAUAUUCCCGUACUUGGUGUUACUGCGAAGGGGGGACGGAGAAGGCUAUGUUGGCCGGGCGACGGUUGUCCCGGUUUAAGCGUGUAGGUGUGUGUUCCAGGUAAAUCCGGUUCACUUUAACACUGAGGCGUGACGACGAGGCACUACGGUGCUGAAGCAACAAAUGCCCUGCUUCCAGGAAAAGCCUCUAAGCAUCAGGUAACAUCAAAUCGUACCCCAAACCGACACAGGUGGUCAGGUAGAGAAUACCAAGGCGCUUGAGAGAACUCGGGUGAAGGAACUAGGCAAAAUGGUGCCGUAACUUCGGGAGAAGGCACGCUGACACGUAGGUGAAGUGAUUUACUCAUGGAGCUGAAGUCAGUCGAAGAUACCAGCUGGCUGCAACUGUUUAUUAAAAACACAGCACUGUGCAAACACGAAAGUGGACGUAUACGGUGUGACGCCUGCCCGGUGCCGGAAGGUUAAUUGAUGGGGUCAGCGCAAGCGAAGCUCCUGAUCGAAGCCCCGGUAAACGGCGGCCGUAACUAUAACGGUCCUAAGGUAGCGAAAUUCCUUGUCGGGUAAGUUCCGACCUGCACGAAUGGCGUAAUGAUGGCCAGGCUGUCUCCACCCGAGACUCAGUGAAAUUGAACUCGCUGUGAAGAUGCAGUGUACCCGCGGCAAGACGGAAAGACCCCGUGAACCUUUACUAUAGCUUGACACUGAACAUUGAGCCUUGAUGUGUAGGAUAGGUGGGAGGCUUUGAAGUGUGGACGCCAGUCUGCAUGGAGCCGACCUUGAAAUACCACCCUUUAAUGUUUGAUGUUCUAACGUGGACCCGU